CCUACGGGUGGCUGCAGUGGGGAAUAUUGGACAAUGGGGGCAACCCUGAUCCAGCCAUGCCGCGUGUGUGAAGAAGGCCCUCGGGUUGUAAAGCACUUUCAGUGAGGAAGAACGCCUGGUGGUUAAUACCCAUCAGGAAAGACAUCACUCACAGAAGAAGCACCGGCUAACUCCGUGCCAGCAGCCGCGGUAAUACGGAGGGUGCGAGCGUUAAUCGGAAUUACUGGGCGUAAAGCGCGCGUAGGUGGCUUGAUAAGCCGGUUGUGAAAGCCCCGGGCUCAACCUGGGAACGGCAUCCGGAACUGUCAAGCUAGAGUGCAGGAGAGGAAGGUAGAAUUCCCGGUGUAGCGGUGAAAUGCGUAGAGAUCGGGAGGAAUACCAGUGGCGAAGGCGGCCUUCUGGACUGACACUGACACUGAGGUGCGAAAGCGUGGGUAGCAAACAGGAUUAGAUACCCCAGUUGUC
rnacentral:rRNA from 1 species